rnacentral:rRNA from 1 species
GACGAACGCUGGCGGCGUGCUUAACACAUGCAAGUCGAACGGAAAGGCCCUGCUUUUGUGGGGUGCUCGAGUGGCGAACGGGUGAGUAACACGUGAGUAACCUGCCCUUGACUUUGGGAUAACUUCAGGAAACUGGGGCUAAUACCGGAUAGGAGCUCCUGCUGCAUGGUGGGGGUUGGAAAGUUUCGGCGGUUGGGGAUGGACUCGCGGCUUAUCAGCUUGUUGGUGGGGUAGUGGCUUACCAAGGCUUUGACGGGUAGCCGGCCUGAGAGGGUGACCGGCCACAUUGGGACUGAGAUACGGCCCAGACUCCUACGGGAGGCAGCAGUGGGGAAUAUUGCACAAUAGGCGGAAGCCUGAUGCAGCAACGCCGCGUGCGGGAUGACGGCCUUCGGGUUGUGAACCGCUUUCGCCUGUGACGAAGCGUGAGUGACGGUAAUGGGUAAAGAAGCACCGGCUAACUACGUG